rnacentral:rRNA from 1 species
GAUGAACGCUGGCGGCGUGCCCAACACAUGCAAGUCGAGCGGCAGCGAGGGGUGCUUGCACCCUGUCGGCGAGCGGCGGACGGCUGAGUAACGCGUGGGAACGUGCCCCAAAGUGAGGAAUAACUGCCCGAAAGGGUAGCUAAUACCGCAUAUUAUCUUCGGAUCAAAGGAUUUAUCCGCUUUGGGAGCGGCUCGCGUCGGAUUAGGUAGUUGGUGAGGUAAUGGCUCACCAAGCCGACGAUCCGUAGCUGGUCUGAGAGGAUGACCAGCCAGACUGGAACUGAGACACGGUCCAGACUCCUACGGGAGGCAGCAGUGAGGAAUCUUCCACAAUGGGCGAAAGCCUGAUGGAGCAACGCCGCGUGCAGGACGAAGGCCUUCGGGUUGUAAACUGCUUUUAUAAGUGAGGAAUAUGACGGUAACUUAUGAAUAAGGAUCGGCUAACUACGUG